GGAGUGUUUAGUAAAUGUCUUGGGAGGAUCAGGGGUCUUUCUUUCAGAAAACAACUUGUUUUAUUAUCAGAUCCAUUCUUCCUUAUUGAAAAAGCAUGGCUUCAAGAACUCGUCUGUGAUGCCUAAAGCCUUCGUCUCCCUCAUACGUACAAACACAACAAAUAAUCUUAUUUGUAUGCCGCUUUUACACAGCCCAAACCAUGCUCAAGGUGGCUUACAUCUUAAAAAAAUACAUUUAUAACAUAACAAAAGUAGCCAUAAGCAAUAAAUAAAACAAAAAAUAUGCAACCAGACCAACAAUUUCCACACAAAUCACAGGUUCUGAAAUAAAGAUACAAAAAACCAACAGCAGCAACCCCAUAAUAAAACACCCCAACCCCAAAACAACAUCUUCAGUUAUGCCAGUCACAGAAUCAUAGAAUUGUAGGGUUCGGAGGGACCCCAAGGGUCAUCUAGUCCAACCCCCUGCAAUGCAGGAAUCAGAGCUGAUCACAGUCUUCCUACUUUGGUGGAGGAAAGAAGGGCUGCAUCCAAGCAACAUCCAUCAGACUCCUGAACUGGUUUUUCUUCCCCCAUCUCCUCUGUGAGGGAUCUGAUUUGUUGGCUGACUAUUCCUACCACUCCAGCAAAGGCAGGAAAUGAGCUGUGGCUCGGAUGUCAGAGUUGCUGUCAGGGGCAACCAGGAAGCUCCCAGUGACUGAUGGUGUGUGCUGAGACCUCAGAGACCUCGGCUGUUUCGAGACGGGUGUUAUUGUGGACCAGCUGCUCCUCAUGCAGGCUCGUUUUUCCACAGCAAGCCCAACUGUAUUGUCAGCAUACAAGUCCCAGCCUCCGCCCCCAAACCCCACCGUCCAGUAUUCCAAAUGCAGCCACGGAAUUGUAGAAUUGGAAGGUACCACACAAGGAUCAUCUAGUGCAAGCCCCUUCAGUGCAGAAAUCUUUCCCUACGACUUCGGACUAAAACCCACAACCCUGUGAUUAUGCGUCUCCUGCUUACUGACUGGAUUUGUAUAAACAGGUUGCUGUUUUCCUUACCGGAUCAGAACCCUCCUUUCCUUGGCUGGUCUGAGUUUCUCAGUGUCUGCCUUCUCCAAGGAGUAUUUUGUGUGUGCCGUUUAAGUCACAAGAACAUCAGAAGUGCCCAUGGAUCAGGCCCAUGGUCCAUCUGGUCCAGCUUCUUGUCUUCACAGUGGCCACCCAGAUCCCUCCAUGGGAAACCCAGAGCCCUCUCCCCUCCUUUGGUUUCCAGCAACCAAUAUUCAGAUGACCGUGGAGGCCGAGAGCAUAGCCAACAUGGCUAGUAGCCACCCAUAGGCCUCUCCUCUACGAAUUCAUCUAAAUCUCUGCCUGCGCUGGAGGAGAGCCCAUCCCCGCGCUGGCUCUUGAAAUGGGAUGCAGGCCUCUGCGAACAAAGGCCCCUCUUCAUCCCUUUUCGGCCUCCCUCCCUCAGUAUGAAGGUCAGGGGAAAGGCUGACUUAUAAAGGCAUAAACAAACCGUGCAGAAAUGCUUAUGGUAAUUCCACUUCUCUUCAGAAAUAUCAGCUCCCCCCCCCUCUCCUUUUUUUUUUGAAAUCUGCUUUAAAUGGUUUCCCUUCUAAUGAAAACCCGCAUGUAAUCUGUUAGCAAGGGAUGUCUGCCGGCCCAUGAAUUAUUCAGCAGGCCCUCUGUUCCGUUAUCUGGCGUCUCUUGAGAUUCCCCCUCCAUUGUCCGCCAUGAUGGGUCAUUAUGCACUCGGUGGAUUUAAUCUUUUAGGCUAUCCAGCAGCACAGGGGGAGCAGGCGGAGGGGGUGGGGCGGGGGGGGAAUGUAUGAAUAACAAUUUCCCUGUAAUAACCUUCAACUAACCUUUCAACCAGAGUGAGUAAUUCCAAUCCUAUUUUCACAUCAAUGGCAGAGUCAAAGCCAGGCAAUUAUCUCUUAUCUGUUCCACCACUGUCUCUCCCCCCCCCCCCUUUAAUUUUGAAGAAGAAGGAGAGGAGGGGGGGGGAUGAUGUUAAAGUACUUGCUGGAGUCAAGAAGAAGAAAAGGGAGCAGAGCAAAGUGGCGGGGAGAAGGCUUGAUUAACAACUUCGAUAGGCAGGGAUUUUAGGCAAUUAUUUGCCCUCUCUCCUCCCCCUCCCCUGUUGCAGCUUCAUUCCUGGUCAGCUGUGUCCCACCUGUUUCCUGUCCUGCCCUUACAAUUUAUCCCACUUAGUGGACCUUUUGACUUGGCCAGAAGAUGCUAGCAAUGAGGGAUGUGGGAGGAAGACUGCCCUGAUCCUGUUAUAAGGUAGCUCUAUCAUAUUUGCAAAAGGACGCGGGUGGUGCUGUGGGUUAAAGCACAAAGUCUAGGACCUGCCGAUCAGAAGGUCGGGAGUUCGAAUCCCCGCGAUGGGGCGAGCUGCCGUUGCUCAGUCCCAGCUCCUGCCAACCUAGCAGUUCGCAAGCACAUCAAAGUGCAAGUAGAUAAAUAGGUACCGCUCCGGCGGGAAGGUAAAUGGCGUUUCCGUGCGUUGCUCUGGUUCGCCAGAAGCGGUUUGUCAUGCUGGCCACAUGACCCGGAAGCUGUACGCCGGCUCCCUCGGCCAGUAAAGCGAGAUGAAUGCCACAACCCCAGAGUCGUCCAUGACUGGACCUAAUGGUCAGGGGUCCCUUUACCUUUACCAUAUUUGCACUUCUUGCUUAUUUCAUAGAAUUGUAGAGUUGGACAGGGACCUUGAGGGAUAACUAGUCCACCCCCCCACCCUGCAAUACAGGAAUCUCAGCUAAAGCCUCCCAGACAGAUGGCCAUCCAACUUCUGCUUAAAAACCUCCAAGGAAGGUAAUUCCAUCACCUUCUGAGGGAGUCAAACUGCUCUGACCCUCAGAAAGCUCAUCACACACUUCAAAAUGCACGAACAAUUGGUGGGUCAAUUGUGUUUUGGCCCCCUCAAGCCUAGUUGCCUGCUUAAAUGCUUCUAUUAUUUGGAAGCUGAAGAAGCCAUGGUGAAGAGAAGGUCCCAAAAGAUGUCUCCUCUUUGUAGACCCGUGCCUGGAGUUGAUCAAAUCAAGGGUUGAAUUUAGAUUCUAGAUUGCUUCAUAAGAUUGUCGUUGGAGGGCCUUGCCUGUGGAGGUAAAAUCACUGGCUACCAGAGAAGAUCGUUGGCUUCUGUGCCUCAAAUAUAAAAUUCCCUCCCAAUGGAGAUCUUCCUGACAUUUUGCCAUGAACUUUUAGAGCCAAAGUUUGCCUUGUUUAUUUAGCCUUUGAGUGGGUUGAUUUAAUGUGAUUGGGGUUUGUUUGUUUAUCGUUUGUUUAUUUAUUUUAUUUAUAUUUCACCAUUUCCUCCAUGCAGCUGAAGGCGGUACACAUGGUUCUCUGCCCUCCCCACUGAUUCCCACAACAACCCAGUGAGGUAGGUUUGGCUGAGAGGCAGUAACUGGCCCUAGGUCCCACUGCAAGCUUCAAUAAAAAUAAAAUAAAAUCCAUAAAAAUCCAUAACUAACUCAGAUUCUGCCCCCCUCCUAAGGAAAGGCUUGCUGGCCCUAACAAAAGGCUUGCCCCCCCCCCCAAUCCUGGCUAUGCCCAUGCAUGGCUGAGUGGGGAUUCAAACUCUGGUUUCUCAGGUCCUAGUCCAAAACUCUAACUUGAAUGUUGCUACUUGAAGCAACACUUCAAGGCAACUACCUUUGAAAUCAGCAUGUCUCCUAAUUUUGAGGUGCAGUUAUCCAAUUAAAACAGGUGUUCAAAAGUGCAUGCAUGCCUAAAAUGCAUCUAUUGGUGAAAUUUACAUGGAAACGUGCAUUAUAUUAGAGAAAAAUGCUUGGGGAAAGUAUGUAUAUUAGGGGAAAUGCAGACUGAAACACUAACCUUUUAAAAGUUAAGGUGUAUAACAGUUAAGUAAGUUGGAGGAAUAAAUUAUGUUUACCACUAUUACUCAUUUAUGCAUGUUCUAUUUUUAUGCUAUGCCUUAUUAGUACCUUAUGUAUGAGUGCAACACAGUACGCGUUGAUGAUGUGAUAUAAUAGGAAAGCAAAUAAAUAAAUGAAUAAAAAGAAUGAUCAAAUUGGUGUAAAAAUGUGGCAAGCUGAGCUUAAGAUUCUAAUGAUGUGAAACUGAGCGAAACCAGCUGAGAUUCCUGCAUUGAAGAGGGUUGAACUAGAUGACCCUUGGAGUUCCUUCCCAGCUCUAUAGCUCUUAUGAUUCUACUAUUCUAGGGUUAAAUUCAGGAAAUCCAGUCGUGGUCCUCCCGUGUAACAUGUAGCUUUGCCCUUGGAUCAAACAGACGCUUUCCGCUUUGCCAGCUGGCAGUCUGUCACAGACCGGAUAAAUGUGAGCUAUUGUCCAGGCACAUUUUACAAGGCCAUAAAGAAAAAGAAAAACAGAAGUGGAGCUCAGAAAGGAACCCAACACAAGACCCAUUGAAAUCCAUGUGUGUGUGUCUGAGUCUCAUUUGGCAGCGAAGGGAACGUCCGCUUCUUGAAACACUCCCUCCAAGGUAGCCUUCCAGAGAGUCAGAUUUCAGAUAAAGUGACCCCUUCCUUGAAGACUUUUUGCACUUCUCAGACGUUUGGAGGAAGCCGUUCUGGGUUGGUUCACACGCAAUGUUUAAUGGCUUUCUUAACUCCAGAGAGCGGAUGUCUACUUGUGUGGGAGCUGGGCAGUCUGGGAAGAGGAGGCAGGCCUCAGAUCUCAGCCAGAGCAACUCCUGGAACCUCCAACACAUGUAUAUUUUUUCUGCACCAGAGAUUGAGAAACUUGCUGUGCUUUUGGUGCUCUGAGAUCCUAUCUCAUGCAACGCACUCCUUGGGACUUGGCCAACUCUCAGGUGUUGAAAAAGCAGCGGAGAGUAAUGUGAAGAACUCGUGUGUGUGUGUGUGCCAACAUUUUGCACAUACCAUGUACCCUCAAAGGGGAAGUAUUAAAAGUACACCGAGUGAGUGACUCCUGCACAGCCAAGUAGUGCUCUGCAUCUUUUGAAAACCACAGAAACACUGAUUAAAAAAAAAGGGGGGGGAGCAAGAUAUGAAUAGUGUUUGUUGGCAAGGGAGGAGGAAGUCAACUCAAACCACAGAGAGAGAAGUUUUGAUACAGUUCUAGUUUCCAGUUCAGUGCAAUGUAUUCAUUUAAAACCAGAGGUCAUUGCAAGGUUCAAGUUUUUAAAGACCUCCCCCAGAGCAUAACAAAAUACAGCUUUCCCAAGGAAAAUACAGGUUUUCCAUGAAGGAUGGGGCAGGAAUUGGAUCUGUUAGGCCCUUUUGUUCUCCUUUCCAAAAGGAGAUGAGUUUCUUAAUUGUUAAAUUAGUGGAAGGAAACAAAAAGCUUUGGGUUUUUCUUUUUAAUGGAUUCUCUGUUGCCUGUUCUUCUGCAGUGCCUGACACAUCUGAACUCAUAACCAAACCAUAAAUCUGGAUUAAGAUUCAACCUUUGCAUUCAUGUCCAACAAUGCACUGUGACCAGUAACCUCCUCCUUCUCCCCACCAUGGGGAACAAUAUUAUGCAUUUGUAGAUCCGUCUCUGAAUUCCAAGGCAGAGCAAAAGAAGAGUCUGGCCAAGGCAUUGUCCAGACACUCUUCGCUUUCUACUUUUGUUACCAAGUGGAGUUACAUGUCGUAUUUCAAAGGUGGUCUUGACUGUUUCCUUCCAAGUCUCUUACUGGGAAACUGGGAAAGAGCCAAGACAUAGUUGGGCUUGCCCUGCAGCUCUGAGCUCCUCUUCACAGGAAGUGAUGUCAGUGCCCUUCUAGUCUUGUGUCUCUAUGCCCUGGAUGCAGCCCUGUGAUACGGCAGCAAAAAAAGCUAAUGCAAUUCUAAGCUGUAUCAACAAUAGUCUAGCGUCCCAUUCAAGGGAAGUAAUGGUACCACUCUUUUCUGCCUUGGUCAGACCCCACUUGGAGUCCUAUGUCCAGUUAUGGGCACUACAGCUGAAGAAGGGUGUUGACAAGCUGGAACGUGCACCAAGGAGGGACAACCAAGAUAAUCAAGGGUCUGAAAACCAAACCAGUGAGGAACAGUUGAGUGAGUUGGGUACGACUAGCCUGGAAGAGAAGACCGAGAGGUGAAAUGAUAGCUGACUUAAAAUAUCUGAAGGGUUGUCACAUGGAAGAUGGAGCAAGCUUGCUUUCUGCUGCUCCAGAGGGGAAGACCUGAACCAAUGGAUUCAAACGACAAAGGAGAGUCCAACUAAACCUUUGGAAUAACUGUUUGAUGACAAGAGCUGUUUGAUAGUGGAAUGGACUCCAUUGGGAGGUUGUGGACCCUCCUUCAGCAGAGUUUUUUGCCCUCUGCCAUGGAUUCUUUAGCUAGGCCUCCUGCCUUUCAGGGAGUUGGACCUGAUGAGCCUUGGUGUCCCUUUCAGCUCUACAAUUCUAGGAUUCUAUGUUCUUCAUGGGACACGGGUGGCGUUGUGGUUUAAACUUGCCGAUUGGAAGAUUGGCGGUUCAAGACCCCAUGACGGGGUGAGCUCCUGUUGUUCGGUCCCUGCUCCUGCCAACCUAGCAGUUUGAAAGCACGCAGUGCAAGUAGAUAAAUAGGUACCACGCCGGCAGGAAGGUAAAUGGCAUUUCCGUGCGCUGCUCUGGUUCGCCAGAAGCGGCUUAGUCAUGCUGGCCACAUGACCCAGAAAAACUGUCUGCAGAAGCGGACAAACACUGGCUCCCUUGGCCUGUAAAGCGAGAUGAGCACCGCAAACCCAGAAUCGUUCGUGAUUGGACUUUACUGUCAGGGGUCUUUAUGUUCCCUUUAUGUUCUUCAUCAUGAACUAAAUCAUCUGUGAAAUUCUCCCACGGAAAUCCAACAGGUUCAGCUUCAGUUGUUGAACAACACAGAGCAACCUUAGGAGUGCGGUAUGGAUUUCACCUCCUUUUCAAUGGGAGCCCCACAUGGGAGAAUUGCCUGGGAGUUUUCACCCCCUGUUACUUUGCAUCCAAGUGAUUGCCCCAGUCAGUUUUAAGCUAUCUGAGCACAUAGAGUCCCUCCCGGCAGGGAUUUCUGCUCAGAGAACAAAUUGUAUAAAUGCAUUUAACAACUGAACAGGGCAGACGGUGAGGAAUUCUCCACAAAAGCUCUGGGACUCAGAGUCUUGUUUGUAUUAAGGAACAUGCUAUGCAAAUCCGGCAGCUAUCUGGAGCCAUAAAUAGCUGCAGAGAUGAAUUUAAUAUCUCUGUGUGGUGGCGGCGGCAGCCGCGACAAUGAUCAAAUGAAGUCCAGACGAAACCGUUCAGCGCUGUUUACACUGGGAGUUAUUGAGCACACCUCUGAGACACAAAGCGGUUGUGUGUGUCUCUCCUCCUUGCCCCGCCCUUUGUGGAAAAUCAGCCGGGCUGUUGGCAAGAUGGAAUCCAACUUGGACUUUUGUGGAGCGACAAAGAGAGAGAGAGAGAAAGGAGGUGAAUCAGGAGCUUAAUUAGCAAAAGCUGUUUACUGAAUAUCCAAUAAAUUAAAAUGCAUGGAACAUGUAUUUUAAUGAAGGCUCCUUAGGAGAAUCCAGUUUUUCCUGGCUAAUCUCAGUGUCACUUCCAGCCGGCCAACCACUUCCCCAUAAGAGCAACACCCCAAAAGUUGGUCUUGUUUGAAAGGAAAAGAGUCACACUGCAUUACAAGGGGUUGGACUAGAUGACCCUAUGGGUCCCUUACAAAAGAUCCUGUCAUUCUAUGCUUUUUUAGCACCUGCAGCCCCCAAAACACAUUGGCUUGAACUUCCCCAAAUGCAACAGGACAGCCUUCCCCCGCCCUGCCGCCCUACAGGUAUGCUGUCAUUUAUUUAUUUAUUGCAUUUAUAUCCUGCCUUUCCCCCCCUCCAAGUAACUCGAGGUGGUGUACGUGGUUCUCCCUCUCCUCAUUUAAUCUGCACAACAACCCUGUGAGGUAGGCUAGGCUGAGAGACAGUGACUGGCCUAGUGAGUUUUGUGACUGAGUGGGGAUCUGAACUCUGGUCUUCCAAUUCCAGGUCGAGCAACUCUAACCACUACACUACACAGAAGUACUGAUUUUUGUAGCACAUCUGCUCCCAUGCUGGCUGGGGGUGAUGGGAAUUGCAGUCCAGAACAGCCAAAGGAUGCUAGGAGAUGGGGGAGUCUAAACUAAGAGGGGGGAACGCCAGCUGCACAGAGACCAUUUUCUCAUGCAGGGAAGCACAAAGAUUAGAAAGGUGUUUCAAUGACAGCCCUUGCCCUUCCAAGAUCAUAGAGCCUUGCCUAGCUGAGGCAGAGUGGGGCAAGACCAAGGAAUGCAGUGAUGGCACCCUCUGCAGGAGCAUGUGGUCCCAGUGCCUGCAGCACCCCUGUCCUCGCGAGAGUGGUCUGCCACAGAGGGGUCCUGCACUGUGCAACCUCACAAGGCUGUGAUGCUAAUCUGAGGAAUGCAAUCCCUACGAGAAGGGCCCCCAAUGGUCAUCUUGUCAAACCCUCUGCCAGGGCCAAUUCUAGAGCCAAAUUUAUUGAAGGACUUGUGUUCCUAGGUUCUUGCAUGUCCCCUUUAAGAUUUAUUGACCAGUCUGAAACAGGAAGUAGAGGGGACAAUUCAUCUUGUAUCAGCUUAAUCGACUCUGUUUUGCUCUCCCGAAGGAAAAACUGUGUGAUUUUACUUUGUUUUCUCCGAAGUUCAGGAGAGCUACUUGUAAAAUUUUGCGUAAUUCUCAGGGCUUUACAUGCCUUCCUUGUGUACGCCGCACUGGUCAACCACUUGGACAGAGAAUGGAGCAAAGCCUUCAGCUUGCACAGAGUCCCACACCCAAUGGAGAGGGGCUGUUAAUUCUUGCUUUUCUUUUCCUUCUCACCUUAUCAAUAAAACACUGACUCACCCCCCCUUUUUCUCAUCCCAGUGCUUCCUAUUAAAAUCAAGCCUUUUGUGUGAAACAUAAGGACUAGAAACUUGAUUUAAAACUAAGGGAAGUCUUUUGGCCCCAUGGCAGAACGUUGGAGGCAGCAAUGUGUCUGAAUACCAGUUGCUACAAACUGCAAGAGGAGAGAAGGCUUUUGGGCUCAGGACGUGCUUGUGGUUGAUGGGCCACUGGCCUGAUUCAUCAGGAUCUUCUGAUGUUCUUCCCUGUGCAAGAAUCUUAUUACUGACUCCUCCUGGGGUGUUUGUGCAGGAGGCCCAGUCCUGGAGACCAUCGACGCUUUCUAGGAGAGGCCAGCUGCGAGGGUCAUCCAUGAGAAGUCCUGACAAAGCACUUCCUACAGCCCAACACACCUUCAAUGCACCGUAAGUGAUUAAAGGGGGGGGGGGCAAUUCACCGUCAUGCUGCUUGCCCUGAAGUGCAGCGCCCCUCCCACCCUCGCACGGCUGUCCCGGCGCAAAAAUCUGCAAUCGAGCCAGGAUUUGGAAUGAGCUGCCAGUACAUUGCAGCAGAGCAGAUGGCGGGCGCUCAGAAGUGUUUGAAAAGCCUCAUUUGAUUAUACAUGAACGCCGCGUCUCUCGCAGGCCCGAGCUGAUAUUUCCAUUAAGCACGCUCCGCAAAGCAUUACAGCCCCGUAGCUGCCGUCUCCUUCCGCACGGAUGCCUUACUGCACUCGUCGGCCUCUUAUCCUUGCCUGCCUUUUAUCAUGGCUUCCACCACGGCACUUAAUGGCCCGCCGGCCAUUGGGUGGGUGUUUCUAAGGAUCACGACCGAUACUUUUGUUGGGAGAUUCAGGGCAGAUAAAGUAAAGGACCUUCUUCACACAGCGUGUGGUUAAACUGUGGAACUCCCUACCUGUGGGCAGUCCCUCCAUAGGUGGGGUAAGCUGCCUCUUUUUCCACAGCCUCUCCAACAAGUCUGAGAAGAUUAUGAAGAUUGCUAGAUAGGCCAGUGACCUGGUCCAGCAGGCUUGUUUUAUGUCCUUAUGUGAUGUCAUAUGAAAAAGUUGCACUGAUGGCGAUUUGCCCAGCUGCUUUCCCUGCCAACACACCACCACAACAAUUCCUAUCUGGGGUUAUCUAGCCCCUUGGGGUGGAUUCAGAUGAGCCGCAAGGUCUGAACUGGUGAAAAGUGGUUAUGUGAAUCCACUGACAUCCGACGACAGCAUGGUGGGAUCUCAGCCAGCUCCAUUCUUCGGAGGACCACAAUGCUUCACUCCAGAACCCUGCAUCAAGGAUGGAGCCAGAGCGAACGGCUGGGUCACAGAGGAUGACAUCUAUAUUGUCAUUUCCAUGGACUCAGGCCACUUAUGAGCGUUAUAACUUGAUAUGUGUUCUGCGAGCCCGGUAGACUUGUUAAAAGAGAAAACCUGCAGACUUUGCUGAGAACAAUUCAAGAUGACUGCAUUUGCCAGAACGAGACCCAGACUGAAUAAGUGGGAAUGCAAUAAUGUCUAAGGCUGGAGCUAUCCUCUGGGUCACCGUUAAAAGGUUCUGGCAGACUUGCAAGGAGGCCGAGGGCACGGGGCACAAAACUCUGUAUUACAACUCAGG